GACGUAGGGCGCGAGCGUUGUCCGGAUUUAUUGGGCGUAAAGAGCUCGUAGGCGGCUUGUCGCGUCGAAUGUGAAAAUCUCAGGGCUCAACUCUGACAUUGCAUUCGAUACGGGCAGGCUCGAGUUCGGUAGGGGAGACUGGAAUUCCUGGUGUAGCGGUGAAAUGCGCAGAUAUCAAGGAGGAACACCGGUGGCGAAGGCGGGUCUCUGGGCCUGUACUGACGCUGGAGGAGCGAAAGCGUGGGGAGCGAACAGGA
rnacentral:rRNA from 1 species